AGAGGUGUGNGAAAACUCUGGUGGUAUACGAUGGUUCCGCGUCUGAUUAGCUUGUUGGUGGGGUAAUGGCUCACCAAGGCGACGAUCAGUAGCCGGCCUGAGAGGGUGAACGGCCACAUUGGGACUGAGACACGGCCCAAACUCCUACGGAAGGCAGCAG
rnacentral:rRNA from 1 species